CUUGCAUAGGACGCAAGUUUGCACCUCACCCCGGCAUCACUGAGCCUCAGGGACGAGCAACAAGUCCGGGCUGUGCUGGAUGGGGAAUCCUGGAGGAGCUGCGCCGUCCUGACUGUGGAUUACUACAUGAGCUUUGUCUCCUCAGCCUGCACGUAUCACUGGCCCUGCCUGUGGAGGGCGCCACUGUGCACACAUGGAAAUGCUAAGUGUCUGGGGGAUGAGAGCAUGAAGUCUACAGGAUGGGAGCGAACAAUGGCAAGUACGGCAGUGAGGGCAAAGGCAGCUCAAGCAUCUCAUCCGACGUGAGUUCAAGUACAGAUCACACGCCGACUAGAGCCCUGAAGAAUGUGGCUACUAGUGAAGAUUCUGACCUGAGCAUGCGGACGCUCAGCACUCCAAGUCCUGCACUAAUAUGCCCUCAGAAUCUGCAUAGCUUCCAAAAUGGGAGAGGAUCAUCUACUUCAUCAUCAUCCAUUACAGGAGAGACUGUUGCUAUAGUCCAUUCACCACCUCCUACACGUCUCACUCAUCCACUCAUACGCCUUGCAUCAAAGCAUCAAAAAGAACAGGCAAACACUGACCGAUUGCCGGAUCAAUGUAUAAUCCAGAUUUUCUCAUAUCUACCCACAAACCAACUUUGUCGAUGUGCUCGAGUCUGCCGGCGCUGGUAUAACCUAGCCUGGGACCCUCGAUUAUGGAGGACUAUUCGACUGACUGGUGAAACAUUAAGUGUGGACAGAGCUUUAAAAGUGUUGACACGUAGACUUUGUCAGGAUACCCCCAACGUCUGUCUCAUGUUGGAGACAGUAAUUGUUAGUGGCUGCAGGCGGCUCACCGAUAGAGGGCUUUACACUAUUGCUCAGUGCUGUCCAGAACUUAGGAGACUUGAAGUUUCCAAUUGUUAUAACAUCUCUAAUGAGGCCGUUUUUGACGUGGUAUCAUUAUGCCCAAACCUGGAGCAUCUGGAUGUGUCAGGGUGCUCUAAAGUGACUUGUAUCAGCUUGACUCGAGAAGCUUCUAUAAAACUCUCUCCAAUGCAUGGCAAACAGAUAUCCAUUCGUUUUUUGGACAUGACAGACUGUUUUGUGCUUGAAGACGAGGGACUCCAUACAAUUGCAGCUCACUGCACUCAGCUUACCCACCUGUACCUGCGCCGCUGCAUCCGCAUCACUGAUGAAGGCCUGCGAUAUAUUAUGAUAUACUGUACAUCCAUCAAAGAAUUAAGUGUUAGCGACUGCCGCUUUGUGAGUGACUUUGGCAUGCGAGAGAUUGCCAAACUGGAGUCUCGUCUGCGGUACCUAAGCAUAGCCCACUGUGGGAGGAUAACCGAUGUAGGCAUCCGUUACAUUGCCAAGUACUGCAGUAAGCUCCGCUACCUCAACGCUCGAGGUUGUGAAGGGAUCACAGAUCAUGGAGUGGAGUAUUUAGCAAAGAAUUGCACAAAACUGAAAUCUUUGGAUAUUGGGAAAUGCCCUUUAGUUUCAGACAUUGGUCUGGAGUUUUUAGCCCUGAACUGCUUUAACCUAAAGCGCCUGAGCCUGAAGUCUUGUGAGAGCAUCACAGGUCAAGGGCUACAGAUAGUUGCUGCCAAUUGCUUUGACCUGCAGAUGUUAAAUGUUCAGGACUGUGAAGUGUCAGUAGAUGCUCUACGCUUUGUCAAACGCCACUGUAAAAGAUGCAUUAUUGAACACACGAACCCUGCAUUCUUCUGAGAAACCAGCUAAUGCAUACAACAUCUUAUUUCCAGUAUUAAAACCACGUAUCAAAAGAAGAAAAACUUGCACAUUCCUCAAAUUAUCUAUUCAAGAUUCUGCUCGUUUUGUUGUACUAAGAGAUUAUUUUUGUAAUGUCUGUAAUUCAUAUGAUCAUGCAUUAGGAGAUGAAUGCAUAAUAUGUGUACAUGUCUGCUUUAUACCAUUGUAGUUAAGGGGAUCAAGUAUAUUCUAUUCAGUGUCAUUGUAUGACAAGGGAAACCUUCCUGAGCAUUAUGGCAAGAAGCAAUGUGAUAUGUCAAGAAAUAAGACAAGUUAUAGCCUGGAUGAUCAUGUAUAAGUGGAAGACAUCAUUUACCCACCACAUCUACGAUCUAAUGUUGUAUAGGUAGGAGCUUCCUCCUUAUUUCUUCAUAAAUUCUAUGGAUAACGCUGAAACAAAUCACACAGUAUAGAGUGAAAUUGCUAAAAAUGUUUAUCUUGUUAGGGAUUUGUUAUAGAGAAGGGAAGUUUUCAUUGCACAUCAUAUGCCUAAGAAAGAAGCCACAUUCAAUUCCUCAAGUGUAACGCAUCUUAUGUUGGUGAUGGUAAAGAAUCUUGGUAAAGAAUCUUAUCUUGGUGUUGGUAAAGAAUUGCAAGGUCAACAGAAACUUUUGGGUAAACAUUGGGUCUAUAUGUUGAGAGAAUUUUCCGAUGUACACGACUAAUAUACCAAUAGAGAUUUAUAAGCCAGAAUAUGCCAAACAAGUAUCCCGUCGUCAUGUCUUUGGCCAGUAAACAAGGCUACACCAUUUCUCCAACUAGUAAACAGUGCAGUCAGCUAAUAUAUAUUAUAUAUAUACAGUGACCCCCCGACCUACGAUGGCCCCGACAUACGAUCAUUUCAACAUGCGAUGGCCUCUCAGAGGCAGCAUCAACAUACGAUGCUUUUGUAUGUCGGGGCCAUCGCAUAAAUGGCUAUCUGGCAGCGCAGACUGCUUCAGCUGCCACCGGAAAGCCGUUUACGGUGCCCCGUGUGCUCCGCUGAUGAUCACUUACCUGUCCUCGGGGCUCUGGCGCUUCCUCUUCAGGAUCCCCUGCAUCGUCUGUGCUCUCCAUCAUCGUCAUCACGCCGCUGCGCACGCCGUCCCGUCAUCCAAUAGGAGCGGCGUGCGUAACGACGUGAUGGCGGCAACGGAGAGCGAGGAUGCCGGGGAAGCAGAGACCUUGCCGGAGCAUUGGGGACACCUCGGGGACGCGGCGACAGCGAUGGAGGGCGACAUCCAGGGCAGUGGUGACGGUCCGAAGCGGCGGGGACAGGUUGUAGACCACUGUCCUAUACUUUACAUUGCACGGAUCCCUCAAAAUACGAUGGUUUCAACAAACAAUGGUUCAUUUGGAACGGAUUACCAUCGUAUGUUGAGGGACCACUGUGUGUGUAUAUAUAUAUAUAUAUAUAUAUAUAUAUAUAUAUAUAUAUAUAUAUUCAUUUUUUUUCAAGGGACUGAAUGACAGACAUUACAACUAUACAUGCCUACAGUUACAUAUAGGUAUAAAUCAUAUAUAUGAAUCAUAUGUUCAGCUAACCUAUUCCCCACAUGUGGUGUACACUUAGCCCAAUCUAGAAUCUUACUAAAAGGAAACGUGUAAUGAACAGUCCCAUACAUUAGUAAUGGUUUACUGCUUACAAAUAGCAGGUGAAAGGAUGCUAUUCUGCGCUGAUCUUUUCCUGCUUGUGUAGCUGCAGUCUGUUACAUUGUAUAGUCUUGUUGACACUAUUCUUGGCAUCAAAGAUACAGGAAAAUCCAAAGGGAGCCAAUAACUCCAGUAUUAGAAGAUCAAGCAAGGAUACGAAUAGGAGAGAGAUUCUUCAGCUCCUGUUUUCAGCUGAUCAUUGUUAGCAAGACCAGGUCAGGACUAUUUUUUCAGCUUAUAUAUGUUCUAUAAAUAUAAGUUCCAUUCUGUGACCGCAAGCAGAGAUCUUAAAAAAGACAAUGAAAUAUAAAGUUUAGGAGAACUUUUUUAUACAGUGCUAAAAUGUAAUUUACAUUACACCAGAAAACCCCUUUAAAUUCUAGAUCUGUCUUAUAGAUUAAAUUCUAGAUCUGUUUUAUAGACUAAAUUCUAGAUGUGUUUUAUAGAUUAAAUUCUAGAUGUGUCCUGUAAUCCAAGGCUUUAAUCAGCUACAUGCCAGUUUCACCUUUUAGGCUCUGUUCACAUUCUGUUUGUGAAUUAGAUUUAGCUCUCAGUGUACAAACUUACUGUGUCCAUUGGGUAAGAUUAGCCAGACAGAAGUGUGUUCUUUUGUAUACAUCAGUUUACUUUAAAAAAAAUGUUUGGAAUGGCGUAGACAACACUACCCCAUACAACAGUAUACAGGUGAAACUCGAAAAAUUAGAAUAUCGUGCAAAGUUCAUUUCUUUCAGUAAUGCAACUUAAAAGGUAAAACUAAUAUAUAUGAGAGAGACUCAUUAUAUGCAAAGCAAGAUAGUUCAAGCCGUGAUUUGUCAUACCGUAUUUUUCGCCGUAUAAGACGCACUUUUUCUUCCCCAAAACUGGGGGGGGGGGGAAGUUGGUGCGUCUUAUACGGCAAAUACACAUUAAAACCCUGUCCUAUCGCAGCGGUCCCUGCGGCCAUUAAUGUCCGGGACCCUGUAUUAACCCUUCUUUAACCUGUAUUAACCCUUCAGACGCGGCGAUCAAAGCUGAUGGCCACGUCUGAAGCGAAAGUGACACUAACCCGGCUGCUCAGUCGGGCUGUUCGGGACUGCCGCUGUGAAAUCGCGGCGUCCCGAACAGCUUACAGGACAUCGGGAGGGACCUUACCUGUCUCGUUGGUGUCUGCUCCGUGCCGGGAUCCCCUGCAUGUCCGCGCUCUCCUUUAUCGUCAUCACGUCGUUGCGCACACAGUCACAUCAUCCAAUAGGAGCGGCAUGCGUAGCGACGUGAUGGCGGGCAGCAGAGACGUUCCAGAGCGACGGGGACGCGGCAAUAGCGAUGGAGGGCGACAUCCAGGGCAGCGGUAACGGGUCCGGAGCGGCGGGGACACGUCGGUAUUACCUCCUCCAGUGGUCCGCAGGUUGAAGAUCACUGUCCUAUACUUUACAUUGUAUUUGGUUUAGAAUCUUUUUUUUCUAGAUUUUCAUCCAUUAAAAUUGGGUGCGUCUUAUAUGCCGGAACGUCUUUUAUGGCAAAAAAUACGGUAAUUGUGAUGAUUAUGGCUUACAGCUCAUGAAAACCCCAAAUCGCAAUAUAUUAUAUAAUUUGGGGAGCCAUGUCAUCUGCUGGUGUUGGUCCACUGUGCUUCAUUAAGUCCAGGGUCAACGCAUCCGUCUACAAGGAGAUUUUGGAGAACUUUAUGCUUCUUUUCAUUUUAAGAUGCAUUAAUGAAAUACAAUGGACUUUUGCACAAUAUUCUAAUGUUUCGAGUUUCACCUGUCCAGUAAAAACGUAUUCCUUCAAUGUUUACUUUUUCACUUAGUUAACUACAAUUUUAAUACUGUGAAAUAAAGUGAGGUAUGACAAUUUAAACUGGCCAAGCAUAUACCAAGAGGACAAUUUGGCUAAUGAUAGUAUGUCUGCAAAUCCAGAUAGAAGUCAGGAAGUCCACCUUACAUAUCAAGUACACAUCACGGGUAUCAUGCCAACACAACACAGCCGUAUAAGCCAAGUUUGUUGACAGACAGAACAAGUUCACCGUGUUCCCAGCUUUGUAGAUUUUGUAUCUUCUGACCUACUAUUGAUCUUCUUGCUGUCCAUUACGUUUCCCAAAAUUCAAAUAUACAAUAGAUAGUAUUUCAUUUUAUAUACAGUGGAGGAGAUUUAUUUGUAGUUUUGCAGGAUGCAUUUACUCACCAGUCGGUGAAAAAUAUAUAAAAUGCCCCAAAUGUACCAAAAUGGUGCAUAUGGUAUCUGAAGACCCCAACCGAGGACACCUGUAAAAUGGAAAGAACUAGAUAUGUAAAAAAAGUGUCUUAAAGGGGUACUCCCACCCUAGACAUCUUAUCCCCUAUCCACAGGAUAAGGGAUAAGAUGUCUGAUCGUGGGGGUCCCGCCGCUGGGGACCCCCGCAAUAUUGCAUGCGGCACCCACCUGUUUCUUGUCCGGAAGCGCUGGAGGGUCUGGGUCACAACCACAGGAACGGAAGUCCGUGAUGUCAGGACUCCGCCCCUGUGUGACGUCACGCCCCUCAAUGCAAGUCUAUGGGAGGGGGCAUGUCAUGUCUAGAAGUAUACAACCAGCAUUAUGCCUAUGAGGUCCAUCACCUCUGUGUAUGAUCCAGCUCUGUGCCAAACGUAAAGUGCCUUAAGUAGAUUCAAUGAAUCCUGUAAUCAUCCCCAUGUAUCCUCAUGCAUGUAAGGAUGGAAAGAAAUAUGUUUUACAGUACUACUGUAUUGUCAUCAAACACAGAGUUAAUUCUAUUAUUACUGUUCAUAUGAGAUUACCUUUUAUGAACUCCAUGUCAAAUAACUUACUAUUGUCUAUAUUGUGUGUAAGUCCUAUUAGAGAAAAUAAAUUACAUUGUUUGUAACUAGAAUAAUUGCAUUGAAUGAAGUUGAAGUGGGAUUCCCAUUUGAGACAUUUAUGGUUUAUCCUUAGAAUAUGCCAUUAUUGUGGGGCAUAAGGGUGGGACCUGCACUUAUAAAACAUUUAUGUCCUGUGGAUAUGCCCUAAAUGUCUGAGAUGGGAAUCGCCCUUUAACAAUUGGUAUAAAACAACACCUUGUUACAGUAAUGUUAUUUGUUGUCUGUAUUUUUUUUAUGGAGAAGAUGACCAUAUCCUGACACCUUCAUACAUUGGAAAAAAUAUAUUUAUUACAUAGUUUAUUCAGGAAAACCUGAAAGAUAAUUUUAGUUGAGCAAUGCGUAUUACUUUCUCUAAAACUCCAAUCAAACAUUUGAUGCUGUUAUACUUGUAGUGAUAUAGUCUAAAGGGACCAUAUCAGUUAGUAAGACAUUCUGAAAACUAGCAUUGUAAAUGUUUUAUAGAAGUGGGUUUGCCAUUGACAAAGAGCAGAUAUUAUGAUGGCUGCAAAGUUUACAAGGUUGACCAUUCAUGUUAUGUUAUAUUACAUUUCCUAUUUCCAGCUAUUGCUGUAAGUGUUAUUAAUGACAAUCCACUCCAUCCAAUUUAUAAAAUAGUGAGGUCAGAGGAGUGAGGAAGAGACUGCUCACUGUAUUCCGUCUGCAAUUCGGUGCUUGCGGGGGAGCUGUAGUAC